rnacentral:rRNA from 1 species
GGCUCAGGAUGAACGCUAGCGGCAGGCUUAACACAUGCAAGUCGAGGGGCAGCAUGAAGGUUAGCAAUAACCUUUGAUGGCGACCGGCGCAAGGGUGCGUAACGCGUGAGCAACUUGCCCGUUUCAGGGGGAUAACCGGUGGAAACGCCGACUAAUACCCCAUGGCAUCAUCAGGAGGCAUCUCCUUAUGAUUAAAGAAUUUCGGAUAAGGAUAGGCUCGCGUGACAUUAGCUAGACGGCGGGUAACGGCCCACCGUGGCUACGAUGUCUAGGGGUUCUGAGAGGAAGGUCCCCCACACUGGAACUGAGACACGGUCCAGACUCCUACGGGAGGCAGCAGUGAGGAAUAUUGGUCAAUGGUCUGACGACUGAACCAGCCAUGCCGCGUGAAGGUCACGGCCCUAUGGGUCUUAAACUUCUUUUGCGAGGGAGCAAUAAGGUCUACGUGUAGGCCGAUGAGAGUACCUCGCGAAUAAGCAUCGGCUAACUCCGUG